rnacentral:rRNA from 1 species
CAGCCGCCGCGGGAAUACGAAGGGUGCAAGCGUUACUCGGAAUUACUGGGCGUAAAGCGUGCGUAGGUGGUGGUUUAAGUCCGUUGUGAAAGCCCUGGGCUCAACCUGGGAAUUGCAGUGGAUACUGGGUCACUAGAGUGUGGUAGAGGAUAGUGGAAUUUCCGGUGUAGCAGUGAAAUGCGUAGAGAUCGGAAGGAACAUCUGUGGCGAAGGCGACUAUCUGGGCCAACACUGACACUGAGGCACGAAAGCGUGGGGAGCAAACAGGAUUAGAUAGCCCCGUAGUCCCUGUCUCUUAUAC